CCUGAGUCUUCUGCUCUGCUCUUCCUCUCUAAUCCUUUGUCCCUGGGUGAGAGUGCUUUCUGAAUGCAAUGCACCCGGGCAAGGAUUCUGAGAGGGUGAGCCCCCUCUGCGUGGAGAACA
rnacentral:pre_miRNA from 1 species